rnacentral:rRNA from 1 species
UACGUAGGCAGCAAGCGUUGUUCGGAAUUACUGGGCGUAAAGAGUGUGUAGGCGGUGCUCUAAGUCUGUUGUGAAAUCUCCCGGCUUAACCGGGAGGGUGCGGCGGAAACUGGAGUGCUUGAGGGUGGGAGAGGUAAGCGGAAUUCCUGGUGUAGCGGUGAAAUGCGUAGAUAUCGGAAGGAACACCAGUGGCGAAAGCGGCUUCCUGGUCCAGCACCGACGUUCAGGCACGAAGCGU